AACGAACGCUGGCGGCGUGCCUAACACAUGCAAGUCGUGCGAGAAAGUUCCUUCGGGAGCGAGUAAAGCGGCGCACGGGUGAGUAACACGUAGGUAACCUGCCCCCCAGUCUGGAACAACUAGAGGAAACUCUAGCUAAUGCCGGAUGAGACCACGAUCCCCUUCGGGGGUUGCGGGCCCAAAAGAUGGCCUCUACUUGUAAGCUAUCGCUGAGGGAUGGGGCCUGCGGGCCAUUAGCUUGUUGGUGAGGUAACGGCUCACCAAGGCUGUGAUGGCUAGCUGGUCUGAGAGGAUGACCAGCACACUGGGACUGAGACACGGCCCAGACUCCUACGGGAGCAGCAGUGGGGAAUA
rnacentral:rRNA from 1 species